AUUGUAAUCUUGUUUCAGAAUUGCAUCACAAGAAAAUAACAUUUAUAAAAAUAAGGUAAUACUUAAUUAACAAUAUAGUCCAUAGACUUCAAUAUAGAAUUUGACAGAGCAGGUGAGGUGAUUCCUGUUGUAGGGAGUAAUACAGUUCUUUAAAAAAAAAAAAGUUGGAAAUAAGGCAGAUCCUGGUUGAGUAGUGGUAAUAGUCCUCUAGACUUCAAUAAAAAUGAAUAACACAAAUAAUGAAUGAGUAAUUGGCUUAUGGGACUUUCAAUUAGAAUAUGCAAAUGAAAUCCCAAAGGACAGAUUUAUUAUUCCCUUAUCCAUCCGAAAUAACAUCAGGUAAAAUCCAAUUGUUAAUCCCAAUAACUGAAGAAUUUAUCUUACAUUAGCUAAUGAGCAUGAGAGUCCUUCCAGGAUAGUGUAGAUUAUGGUUCCUUGUGGUAUGUGGAGAAAGGCAGGAAUCCAAGGUAAAGUCUGUUCCAAGUCAGGGAGUGAAGAGUAGAGAGAGCGCAGUCAGGAUCAAGCCAGAGAGACUCCGUACACAGGAAAUCAAUUAGAAAGCUCCGUCGGUAUAUUGGCAACGAAGUAGCAAGUAUGCGAGAGCACAUCAAAAACAAACACAACAAAAAUGUAUUAAGCCAUUUGGAUGCGGUCGCGGCUUCCUUUUGAAGGGAAGCGUGUGACAUCAGACGCAUGGGCGGAGACUGAUCAGCGAAACCUGGAAGUCAUACGAGUAAUGACAAUCAAACUGAAAUCAAUGUGGAGGAAUUCCGAGACAAUAUGGAGGAAUCCUGACACUACUGCUGUUCUUCCAUGUUUAAUUUUUAUUGGUAUAAUUUUUUAAUAUGUGUGUGCAAGUCUACAGUGACAAUUGCAGUUUGAAU